AUCCAGCUGACAAGUCGCAAACAGGACGAAACGCGCAUCUCGGAU
rnacentral:hammerhead_ribozyme from 1 species